GAUGUCUCUCUCUGUGUCAAAUAAAUAAACAAAAUCUUAAAAAAAAAAAAAGAAAUUCACUUCAAAUUAAGUGACAGGGAAAGUUUGAAAAUAAAUGAUUUGGUAGAUAUAUGUCAGGCAAAUCCAAAACCAGGAGUAACAAUAUUAAUAUCAAAUUCAAGGCCAAAAACAUUUAAUAGGAACAAGAGGAUGGAAUGAUUAAGAGCAGAGUGGCAGAGAUUGCUAGAUGCCUAUGCCAUCCAUGCCCAUCCCUCUUUCACCCUCGCUAACAAAACCCCAAUUUAAUUUGGCACAGCAAUGUGUAGAGAUAAAAACAAAUUAAUUUUCCCAUCCUCUUUUACAAUGAGGGGUAGACAGUAACUUGUAAGCAGAAGUUAGUGGGUGGGGCUGCAGACAUCUAAUUAAGCUGGAAGCUACUCCUUUCUACCUUCUCCUUUUUCCUCUUUCAUGACUGGAAUAUAUAUAUGAUGGCUGGAGCUGCAGAAGCCAUUUUGCAAUCAUGAGUUGGAGAAUGGAUGCCACAAACUAAAAGGUAGCAGAGCAGGAAGACAAGUGGAGCUUGCUUUCCAGAUGACCAUGGAGCCACUACACCAGUCCUCAACUUUUUACCACCAGGGAGGUCAGAUGUCUCAUGCUGCCCUCAGCCUCGUGAUGGGAAGACAUGCCACAAAGUAAUUUUAAAGGAUAAAGAAGGAUUAAGAAGAACAGAGAAGGGGCUCUGAAGAAAAUGGAACAUAUGAAACCAGCAAUCUUUCUUUCCACCAUUUCCAUCUUUCGGUGGUUCCUGGAAAGUCUAACCACAGGCUUGCAUAAGUCAGAGCCUUUCUUACUACCGUGAGUACGGGAGACAUUUCCAUGGCCUUUCAUGGUGUGCAAGGUUGAAGAUCAGGAUUUAUAACACAGAACAAAUGUGGCCUGAUCACAAAGUGCAUCUGGACCAAAAAGUGUCCUGAAGUGGGCGGCAAGUUCAUUUUCCGAAGUCCGCUUUCUUUUAUGUGGACUUGCGUUAAGAAAAAAUUGGUAGAAUGAUAUGAAGAAUGUAAACAUUCAUGAAACAAAAAGAAUAUAUUUAAAAGGACAUAAUUCCUCAAGAAACUUCACAACAUUUCUUCAUAUGCAUAGGAUAGUCAAACAUUGUGAGGCCAUCAAGACUAGAAUGGAAACCAGUCACACCUCUUGAUGAAGACUCCAGAGAGGAGAAUUGAAGAAUUGAAAAACAGAGAAGCUAACACUUACCUUAU